rnacentral:rRNA from 1 species
GACGAACCGUGCGAACGUUAUUCGGAAUCACUGGGCUUAAAGGGUGCGUAGGCUGCGAGGAGGGUGGGGUGUGAAAUCCCUCGGCCUAACCGAGGAAUUGCGCUCCAAACCGCCUUGCUGGAGUGAGACAGAGGUGAGCGGAACUAAUGGUGGAGCGGUGAAAUGGCGUUGAUAUACAUUAGGAACACCAGAGGCGAAGGCGGCUCACUGGGUCUCAACUGACGCUGAUGCACGAAAGCUAGGGUAGCGAACGGG